ACAAUUGUUUCUUGUAAUCAGAAACCCAAUCUCACAUCUUUAGUCAAUGAUUAGUGAAUCUAAAUUCAACACUAAUAGUUUGAACUCCACUACCAUUUUUCUAUGAAAAAUCCUGCAUAACAUUCUGGGAUAAAUGAAUUUCAAAUAAAUCUGAAGUUCAAAAACAUGUACAUUAACCAAAAAGAAUAAAUUCUAAUAGUUGAAACUGCAAGUAUUCAAUGAACCACAGUCCAUUCAGGUCGAAUGACAACAAAAUCUUCAUCCAAUUUUCAGACCGUUGUCAAUUGAAGAUGGAAGUUGAUUAUUUUGGUCUUGAAAGCCUUC
rnacentral:lncRNA from 1 species